rnacentral:lncRNA from 1 species
GCCAACGGGACGCCGACUGCUGCCAGUGCUGGGCCAGGGGAAGACAGAGGGGGGCCCUGGCUGCGCCUGGGGGCCACAGCGGUGACCCGGGAGCUAUUUCGGGAAGCCCUGAGGACAGAGGGUGCCACUGCUUCCAUCGCCAUCACCACCAUCCACGUGAAAAAUGACUGUGAGACGGGUCUGGGAUUACCUCUCUGAGCGCUGGGAGCAAGCCGUGCAUUCUGCAAACCCAAUCUGCAGCCAGCACCAAUCACGUGUUGGAGCCCCACUAACAGCCAACGCGAUGCUUCACCAUGUCAGGUAAUUCAGCUCAUCAACCUAUGUGCUUGGGGGUCAGGGUUACUGGGGAUAGAAACUCUUCAGUUUAGCAGGUGGCUAUGAAACCUUAACUACAGAAAUAGCUGACUAAAAUAGCCCAUCUACUUUUUUU